rnacentral:rRNA from 1 species
CGGACGGGUGAGUAACACGUGGAUAACCUACCUAUAAGACUGGGAUAACUUCGGGAAACCGGAGCUAAUACCGGAUAAUAUAUUGAACCGCAUGGUUCAAUAGUGAAAGACGGUUUUGCUGUCACUUAUAGAUGGAUCCGCGCCGCAUUAGCUAGUUGGUAAGGUAACGGCUUACCAAGGCAACGAUGCGUAGNCCGACCUGAGAGGGUGAUCGGCCACACUGGAACUGAGACACGGUCCAGACUCCUACGGGAGGCAGCAGCC